GCUUCUGUAGCUCAGUGGCACAGCACUGGCUUUGUAAGGCAGGAGUCGUGAGUUCAUUCCUCAAAGGAGGCA